UGUGAACAUAAGCUGGUGUUACCUUUCGUCGUCUGUGAAGUAUCUCAGCUUCUUCCUGCCUUUGAUCUACAACAAGACUUACCAAACAAGCACCUCUACAAGAAGAAUCGAGAGAGAUACAGUGCCUGCAUCCAGUGUAGACACCUGCCCAUUGUAGUCCAUAACAAUGGAAUAUGAGGAUGGAUGCAGUAUCACUCCGACUCCGACUAUACAGCUCACUGUGGGAGAGGCCUUAAGUACACUGGAAUUACGCAAG